GAUGAAGAACGUAGCGAAAUGCGAUACUUGGUGUGAAUUGCAGAAUCCCGUGAACUAUCGAGUCUUUGAACGCAAGUUGCGCCUCAAGCCAUUAGGUUGAGGGCACGUCUGCCUGGGCGUCACAUAUCGUUGCCUGAUGCCAGUUUCCUCGUGAUGGGUGACUGUGCAGGGCGAAUGAUGGCUUCCCGUGAGCAUUGUUGCCUCAUGGUUGGUUGAAAAUUGAGUCCUUGGUAGGGAGCGCCGUGAUAGAUGGUGGUUGAGUGACGAACGAGACCCAAUCAUGUGAGACCCCUACCGAAUUUGGCCUUCAUGACCCACAUGCGUCUUUGGAACGCUCAUGACGAGACCUCAGGUCAGGCGGGGCUACCCGCUGAGUUUAAGCAUAUCAAUAAGCGGAGGA
rnacentral:misc_RNA from 1 species